AGAAAUCGCAUGAAAUAAUACAAUUUCACGUAAUCGGGAGGGUUUUUAUGAAAUUGUUUAUGUUGUGAUCGCUGUGGGCAGCGUGUGCGGGCUGUGGGUGACCUCUGGAUUGAUUGUCCAAGGCCCCAAGCCCUUGCGGAGAUCGAAAAUUGAUUUCCGGUGUGUUCGUCGGUAAAAUCCGCCGACGGAACGCGUUUUCGGUUCAGGAUUAUUCUGACGGUGCCUAGUGAUGUUUUGUGUUGUCGCUGAGCCUUGUUGGCUGGUCACCUGCAUCGUUUCGAGGGUUCAGAAACGACGGGUGAGCGACGGUGGGGUUCCGGUGUCGAAUUGGAAACUUCCGGGAAUCCGUAUCGGAACGAUUAUCCGAUGAUAAUCGUUUCAGAGUAAUGUACUAUUCUUGUUGCCAAGUGACAUGAAAAUAUGUGUUUAGU
rnacentral:lncRNA from 1 species